ensembl:lncRNA
GAGCGCCGCACGCUUAUAGUCUCCUUUAGGAUGAUGGAGAGCCUCCCUCGCGAGUGCUGGGACACCUAUAGGGUGCAGCAUGGCCGACGCGCAGCCCAAUCUCUGUUUCACUCGGAGUUUGGUGGCUUUUGAUCGGUGAAUUUGCGUGAUGGGGCCUACUCAUUAGAGGUGCUAAGCCUCAACACUGAGCCGUGAUUGACACACGGUGACUGCGACUGGAUGUCUCGACUCUUCUCAUGGUUAACCGAUGGCGCUGUGGGACGAUGGGGUUUGGGUUUACUGUCCUGUUGGUGAUGAUAUAGAUGACCAUGCCAGCCGGAUCAGACCAGGAAGCACCCUCCCUAUAUCCAGCCUCCUCCCUACCCGCCUCCAUUAACACAAUGAUGAAGGAAGCGCAGCCAACGUCCGUCAGACCGAGACACACACUGGGCCUGGCAGGACACGCCAUGGGACACACGCCUGGAACCAGGAGGCUCCGCCAGGCUGCCACAUCUGAUUCACAUUAAGGCCGGGACCGGAGACAAAGAGGAGGACGACACAGAGAUGCAUAAAUAGUGGGAUAGAAAACCAAGAAGAAGAGCAAGAGGAAAAUGGGUGGAAGGCUGUGAUCAGGGGAACGACAAAGGAAGAGAGAGAGAGAGGAAUGGAGGGGUAGGGACUGAUGAUGGCCACGUGGGAAUGAAAGAGAGACGUGCGGUCAUUCACCGCACUUGAUGGAUGAUGCUUAUCCGUUGUCUGCCAUCAUUUGGAAGAAUAUUGUGUUGGAUUGGUAUGUCCGUCCGCACCCGGUCGUUACUUCCCUUUGUUCUCUUACAGCCUCAUCAGUUACCUUGCGAAGAUGGAAUCACUUAAACCAUCGAGAACCUUGAUAAGUUUUUAUUUGAAAUCAUUUGACCUUGCUUUUUGUCGCCCCUAUUCAUGUAAUCCUCGCAUCUACCUUGCAAGGGUUAGGGUUAGUGGUUCUGGUUAGUUAAAGCAAAACUUGAAGAGAAAAAUCUUGUUAGGACUAAAAUAAGCCCUGACAGCUUGGGAAGUGUGUUAAGAGAUGGAUCUCCUCCGUAGAAUCCCCUAGCUUACGCUAGGUACAAGCAGAUACCAUAGAAGGUAUGAUGACGGAGCUGGCCAAGAGCCAAGAGAAAUUGGUCUCUCCCUUGUCACUGCACAAGUGUUUGGUCGUCGGGGCCCAGCCUUUACCCAAAGCCUCUGCACCAAGGGACCUUUCCCUUUCUUGAUUUAAACUUCACUUGCGUUUGAAGGAUAAGACUACCUAAACUUUUCUUCCGUUUCACCUGCUUGUGUUUGUUGUUUAUUUAGUUUUACUGGAUUGGUCUACAUCGUUUGCCGCACCC